CACCUGCAGCCAUUUCUUUCUGAUGCAGGACUCCAUGUUGGUUUGCCUAAUUAAUCAACAAUCAACAGAUCCUUCUAGAAAAGAAAGAGAAAAGAGACUGAACUUCCUUCGGUGAGACAGUCAUGAAAUAGUCUUCACUCCAUUUUCCCAGCCAAGAGAUGGAAAGAAGAUGUAAAAAGGUUGGCCACCUUUCCUCAUCCCUCAGCUCUGACUUGAUUUGUCUGCAGGACUCAGACACGGUAGGGGAGCCUACGGUAGUAAAUUCCCCCACGGAAUCCUGCCGUAUAUGGGGACUUUCUUUUCUUGCCCAUAAAAGGUAUGGAAAGCUCCCGUCAGUUUUAGCGGUUAUUGUACUGUCUCAGCGCCAGCCCCUCACUCAUGCACUGUGACAGAAAACAGUAAGAGAGGCACCAGGAAGAGAAAAUGUGUCAAAUUCCCCCAGCCUCCUAGAGAAGGAAGACUGUCACUAUUGAUAAUAGCAUGUUUUACAAUGUGAUUCAUUUGGGAAAAGUUUAAAAUGAAAAAACUCUGUGUCAGGACUAGGAAUACAAUGAUGCACACACUCCCAGCCUUCGUGGAGCUCACAGUUGGCUGAUGGAGAACAACAUUAAACAAGCAAUAACAGUAAAGUAAGAGAAAAGAGAAGAUACUGCAUCCAAGAAAAAAGAACAGACUCAAACAGAAAAGGAAUAUUCAAAAGCCAAAAUGGAAUUCUUAGAAAUUAAAAACAGCAGAAAUGAGAAACUCAACAGUAAAUCUCUCAGAAAGUCAAGCAAAAAGACAAAGAGAUAGAAAAAUUGGAGGGAAAAUAGCAAGCCAAAUUAGAAGACUAGUCCAAGAAUUCGAAUAUCUAAGUAAUAGGAGUUCCAGAGAGAGAGAGAGAAAAAAACAAAAACAAAAACAGAAAACGGAAAACAGAAAAGAGGUAAUCACAAAUGAAAUUACAGUACUCGCUCCUAAUCCGUGAAGGUACGUUCCAAGACCCCAGUGGAUGUCUGAAACCACAGAUCAUGGGGUCAGGAGAGGAAACCAAAGGAAGAGUGGGAAAAAGGAGAGUCCAGUUCCUCAGAGACCCACAAAUCAAGUCUGAUCUGCAGACAAGGGGACAAAGAUCUUCACAUUACACUCCAAUACGUCCAGACCCAGUCUGCUGUCUGUGCACCCCAAGAUCAGAACCACACACACAUCGAGCAGUGGAGGGACAACCACUGUCACCAUCAUGAUGACGGCAAAUAGCAGCAAUCCCCUGGAAAGAUGAGAUGGAACAUCUAGGUGUUUUGUCACCGAGGUAUCAAUAAGUAUUUACUGAGCACCUCUCAUGUCCCUAACAGUCUGCUAGGUACAAGGGAGGGAAGACAAAACGAAGAUGAUGCAGACCCUUGCCUGGAGGAGCACAUAGCAUCCUUCACGCUGGAAAGAAUGCCAUGUUAGGACACAAAUAAGAGAGAAAUCAAAGAAUGUGUUACAUGCCAAUUUUAAUGCUGUGGGAGGUCAGGAGUGAACUGUUUGGGCCAGAGGGCAGAGAAAGUGUCAGGGCAAAUGUGACUGGGUCUGGAGAGGCAGUUCCAAUUUUAAAAGGCUGUGGAGAGGGGGAACAUUCCUGAGAAGGGAAGAAUGCCCCUGGCAGGAGCACGGAUGAGGGAAGGGGUUCCGGCCAGCAGGAGGAGGACAGCCCGGUGGUUGUCUGUUUUGCUCAUCCCGCUCUGGGCUCUGCCCCUCGCUAGCUUGUGCUUUCAUUUCCUCUCCCAUAAAACCGGAUGGUGAUGACGAUUAUAAUAAUAAAUACCUUACAAAUAAUAAACAUCACAAUAGUCUACUCCAUUGGGUUGUUGUUGGAAGGAUUAAAUGAGUUUAUACAUGUAAAGAGCUUUUUGAAAGUGCUUGGUUUGAGUAAAU
ensembl:lncRNA